UACCAGCUCUCCGAGUGGUGUGGAUGUUUAUUGGGCCUAAAGCAUCCGUAGCUGGCUGGGCAAGUCCCCUGUUAAAUCCACCGAUUUAAUCGUUGGAGUGCGGGGGAUACUGUUCGGCUAGGGGACGGGAGAGGCAGACGGUAUUUUCGGGGUAGGGGUGAAAUCCUAUAAUCCCGGGAAGACCACCAGUGGCGAAGGCUGUCUGCUAGAACGCGCCCGACGGUGAGGGAUGAAAGCUAGGGGAGCGAACCGGAUUAGGUACCCGGGUAGUCCCAGCUGUAAACGAUGCGAGCUAGGUGUUGGGGUGGCUACGUGCCACUUCAGUGCCGCAGGGAAGCCAUUAAACUCGCCGCCUGGGGAGUACGGCCGCAAGGCUGAAACUUAAAGGAAUUGGCGGGGGAGCACCACAAGGCGUGAAGCUUGCGGUUC
rnacentral:rRNA from 1 species